UACGUAGGGGGCAAGCGUUGUCCGGAAUCAUUGGGCGUAAAGAGCGUGUAGGCGGUUCGGUAAGUCGGCUGUGAAAGUCCAGGGCUCAACCCUGGGAUGCCGGUCGAUACUGCCGGACUAGAGUUCGGAAGAGGCGAGUGGGAAUUCCCGGUGUAGCGGUGAAAUGCGCAGAUAUCGGGAGGAACACCUAUGGCGAAGGCAGCUCGCUGGGACGUUACUGACGCUGAGACGCGAAAGCGUGGGGAGCAAACAGG
rnacentral:rRNA from 1 species